rnacentral:rRNA from 1 species
UACCGAGUUUUCGAGCUCCGGCUCGACUCUCCCACCCUUUGUGAACGUACCUCUGUUGCUUUGGCGGCUCCGGCCGCCAAAGGACCUUCAAACUCCAGUCAGUAAACGCAGACGUCUGAUAAACAAGUUAAUAAACUAAAACUUUCAACAACGGAUCUCUUGGUUCUGGCAUCGAUGAAGAACGCAGCGAAAUGCGAUAAGUAAUGUGAAUUGCAGAAUUCAGUGAAUCAUCGAAUCUUUGAACGCACAUUGCGCCCCUUGGUAUUCCGGGGGGCAUGCCUGUUCGAGCGUCAUUACAACCCUCAAGCUCUGCUUGGAAUUGGGCACCGUCCUCACUGCGGACGCGCCUCAAAGACCUCGGCGGUGGCUGUUCAGCCCUCAAGCGUAGUAGAAUACACCUCGCUUUGGAGCGGUUGGCGUCGCCCGCCGGACGAACCUUCUGAACUUUUCUCAAGGUUGACCUCGGAUCAGGUAGGGAUAC